UUGCUUUAGCAGCACAUAUACUAAAAUUGGAACGAUAUGGAGAAGAUUAGCAUGGCCCUUGUGCAAGGAUGACACGCAAAAUCGGGAAGCGUUCCAUAUUUUU